GGAUUAGAUACCCUGGUAGUCCACACCGUAAACGAUGAGUGCUAGUUGUCUGCAGGCAUGCCUGUAGGUGACGCAGCUAACGCAUUAAGCACUCCGCCUGGGGAGUACGGCCGCAAGGUUAAAACUCAAAGAAAUUGACGGGGGCCCGCACAAGCGGUGGAGCAUGUGGUUUAAUUCGAAGCAACGCGCAGAACCUUACCUACGCUUGACAUGCCCGGACGAUUUCCAGAGAUGGAUCUCUCCCUUCGGGGCCGGUGCACAGGUGCUGCAUGGCUGUCGUCAGCUCGUGUCG
rnacentral:rRNA from 1 species